ACUCCUACGGGAGGCAGCAGUGGGGAAUAUUGCACAAUGGGGAAACCCUGAUGCAGCCAUGCCGCGUGUGUGAAGAAGGCCUUCGGUUGUAAAGCACUUUCAGUAGGGAGGAAGGUAGUGUAGUUAACACCUGCAUUAUUUGACGUUACCUACAGAAGAAGCACCGGCUAACUCCGUGCCAGCAGCCGCGGUAAUACGGAGGGGUGCGAGCGUUAAUCGGAAUUACUGGGCGUAAAGCGCAUGCAGGCGGCCUGUUAAGUCAGAUGUGAAAGCCCGGGGGCUUAACCUCGGAAUUGCAUUUGAAACUGGCAGGCUAGAGUCUUGUAGAGGGGGGUAGAAUUUCAGGUGUAGCGGUGAAAUGCGUAGAGAUCUGAAGGAAUACCAGUGGCGAAGGCGGCCCCCUGGACAAAGACUGACGCUCAGAUGCGAAAGCGUGGGGAGCAAACAGGAUUAGAUACCCUGGUAGGAUAG
rnacentral:rRNA from 1 species